rnacentral:tRNA from 2 species
GGAGCGGUGCUCGAGUGGUUGAAGAGGCAGCACUGGAAAUGCUGUGUACGGUAACCCCGUACCGAGGGUUCGAAUCCCUCCCGCUCCG